CUUGCUAGAUUGAUGGCGAGUGGCGAACGGGUGAGUAAUACAUCGGAACGUGCCCUGUAGUGGGGGAUAACUAGUCGAAAGAUUAGCUAAUACCGCAUACGACCUGAGGGUGAAAGUGGGGGACCGCAAGGCCUCAUGCUAUAGGAGCGGCCGAUGUCUGAUUAGCUAGUUGGUGAGGUAAAGGCUCACCAAGGCGACGAUCAGUAGCUGGUCUGAGAGGACGAUCAGCCACACUGGGACUGAGACACGGCCCAGACUCCUACGGGAGGCAGCAGUGGGGAAUUUUGGACAAUGGGCGAAAGCCUGAUCCAGCAAUGCCGCGUGUGUGAAGAAGGCCUUCGGGUUGUAAAGCACUUUUGUCCGGAAAGAAAUGGCUCUGGUUAAUACCUGGGGUCGAUGACGGUACCGGAAGAAUAAGGACCGGCUAACUACGUGCCAGCAGCCGCGGUAAUACGUAGGGUCCAAGCGUUAAUCGGAAUUACUGGGCGUAAAGCGUGCGCAGGCGGUUGUGCAAGACCGAUGUGAAAUCCCCGAGCUUAACUUGGGAAUUGCAUUGGUGACUGCACGGCUAGAGUGUGUCAGAGGGGGGUAGAAUUCCACGUGUAGCAGUGAAAUGCGUAGAGAUGUGGAGGAAUACCGAUGGCGAAGGCAGCCCCCUGGGAUAACACUGACGCUCAUGCACGAAAGCGUG
rnacentral:rRNA from 1 species